rnacentral:RNase_P_RNA from 1 species
UAGGGCAGUGCUUAGCUAUCGGUGCUUUAGGAAGGUGAUAAAGAAUCAUCGGUCUUCGGAGGGCUUUAUGUCCUCCUUAAGGUGUUUCCAUCAAUGCUUUCUUAAAGGACUGAGGAAAGUCCACCCACUAUCGUAGCCACUCGUGAAAGCGAGGCCCUGAAAAGGGCGGCAACCACUCAGAAACGAGACCGCCCAUAUCCGCUGUGAUGCAUGCGAAGGCUCUGGUGACAGAGCUGAGUUCCUGCUGAGUUUGUUUAUGGGAACGGAUGAAACGGUGAGCCCUGGCUUGUGCAACCCGCAAGGGGCUCAGUAAAAUGCUAAGACAGGCUAUCCUAACGGAGCCUGACAAAAGGUGGCUUACAGCUGCCCUG